rnacentral:rRNA from 1 species
AUACGUAGGUGACAAGCGUUAUCCGGAUUUACUGGGCGUAAAGGGCGUGUAGGCGGUCUUGCAAGUCAGAAGUGAAAUUCCUGAGCUCAACUCGGGCGCUGCUUCUGAAACUGCAGGACUUGAGUGCUGGAGGGGAUAGCGGAAUUCCUAGUGGAGCGGUAAAAUGCGCAGAUAUUAGGAAGAACACCGGUGGCGAAGGCGGGUAUCAGGACAGUAACUGACGCUGAGGCGCGAAAGCACGGGGAGCAAACAGGAUUAGAUACCCUGGUAGUCCGUGCCGUAAACGAUGAAUACUAGGUGUAGGGGGUAUCGACUCCCUCUGUGCCGCAGUUAACACAUUAAGUAUUCCACCUGGGGAGUACGGCCGCAAGGUUGAAACUCAAAGGAAUUGACGGGG